AAUGAGCCACACGCCCUUCAACAAGUCAUCAAGGUCAGCAGAUACAAGACUUGGGGAAGCAGGUGACAUUGGCCCCUUCCCAAGCUACACAGAUUAAGAACAGAGGAGAGCUGACUCCAGCAAAAGGAGACUGGGAACCAGUACCUGAGGAAGGGAGAAAAGAUUCUGGGCGGCAAAAACAAUAAUAUCUACUCUGUACCAAAGAGUGGCUGAAGAGAGGUCUGAAAAGAAUAAAACUCACGAGCUAAUUCAGACCUUUCAGGAAAUAAUCAUCAUCCACCUAAAAGAGAAUGAAGUUUCUCAAGCCAAAUACAAGGUGCAGCUCCUGGCCAGCGGUCCCUCCAGGAGCAUCUCUGCCACCUGGCCUGGGUAUUGCUUGGUGCUCCGGGCACCAUGCACUGUGCACUGUGCCCCUGCCUGGGGGGGAAGGCCGAGGCAGUAUUCCUUAAGGGUGAACAUUAUCCUCCCUACUCUCUGUGGUCUACCUCUAUUAAUCGGGGAGGCGGCCCCAGGUGACAGCAAGUUUGCAUGUGCGCGCCCUGGAGUCAAGGCUGCUUCAAUGCUGGGUCACUCUUCACUCCAUAAACAUGUCAUCCUUCCCUAUGGUUUCCAGCAGCAUAGAGUCUCAUGGGUGAGUGGUGUCCUCCUUCUUUGCAAAGGGCCUGGGCCAGACGGAGGCCUUCAAGCAAGGCUGAGGCUCUAUCAGACACCCAGGACUUAUUUAUUAAAAGCUUUCUUACCAGGGACUUACUUACAAGUGUCUCUUUGUCACCUUACCCACACCGUCCUUCUCUUUGGCACGCCUCAUUCUUGUGGAGAUUCACGGUGGCGUUAGGAAACCAGUUGUUCUUUCUUCAAUCUCAUUCAAUUCUACGUUUUCUAUUGGGUCAAGACUGUACUGCGGCCUCCAAGGAUCACAGCUUUCAUUAAAGGCAAUAACUGCCCUGCUCAGCCUUGGCUUUCUUCCCUUAGGUCCCCGAUGUGACCAUCCACCACCCACAUGCCUCUACUCCUCAGAUGCUAUUCCUACAAUUCAAAACAUAUUUUGUUAAAAAAAAGUUAUGGGAGCAUGAAUAGGGUUUUUCUAGACUUAGGAUUCUAGGGAAAUCAAGUUUACUGCUUCCUCAUGUAAGAAAAAAGAAAUAGUUUUCUUUGUCUUUUCUCAAAGAUAUAUCUUAUUUUCUUAUUUUUGAGAAGCCUUUGGGGUUUUUGGUCCUCCUUUUUUUUUUUUUUUUUUGCAACUGAAUCACUGAGGUCAAAUCUGAGCACUUUUCCCAGCAUUUUGGGGGAUUGGUGUUAAGGGCAGUGGCCAUGAAGGAAGUACUGAUUCUGAUCAGGAGAAAGGAGGACGGAUGGCAAUGGCUUGUGCGCAUGGGCAAGUGUCUUCACUUCUCUAUGUCUUACUUUUCUAAUCCACACACAUGUGCACACAUGCACAUGUACACACAUGCACACACACAAAUACUACCAACAUAAAAAUUUUUGUGCGUCUUCAGUUUCAUUAGGCACUUACAGGAAUUAUGACAGGUCCUGGCAUACUCAAUAAAUCUCAUUGAAUGAGCACAGUCUGUCAAUGUGGGAGAUACAAGAACAAUCUAGCAGCUCCAAAUUCCCCUUCGAUUCAGACACUAGAUGUCGCUGCUAGUACUUUCCAAAUGAAAGUUUUAAAAAAAGUUCUAAAGGAAAAAGGGGUCCGAUCCAGAGAUGGCUUUCUUGAAACCAUAAACCUGGAAGCAUUUUAAAAAAUACUGUAUUAAAAGUGAAUCAGUUUUACAAAAAUUGUAAGGCUUUAAUCAACAUAUUUAGACGUCAAGUAACCCAGUAGGGUUUGCCCAUUAACUGACUGAAGUUAGAACAAAAAUAAAUGCUAUUUCUGUUAUUUAAGAAACUGCUGUGUUGAUGGAAGACUGAAACACCAGAAUCAUCCUCAGAAAUUAGAGGCUUGGAUAGGGGGAUGGUGGAGAGGGGAUGUUAGUGAACAGCAUCCUACAGACCCUAUAUGACUCUAGAUAUGGAUACCUCCUUCCCUUUAAAGAUUUGGUCAAUGUACUUAAAUAUUGGAGUCUUUUCAAAGUACCUUCUUUGAUCUGUGGGUAUAGAGAACGUCAAGUUAAAUGAAAAUAUGUAGCCUGAAGUCAAAAUUCCCGAAUUCAGUAUAUAUGCAAGAAGAAUGGCCCUUCAGGUGUACUAAUUUUGUUAAUCACGUUACAGGUGGGGCACCGGGGUGGCUCAGCGGUUCAGCAUCUCCCUUUGGCUCAGGUCAUGAUCCUGGGGUCCCGGAAUCGAGUCCCACAUCGAGCUCCCUGCAUGGAGCCUGCUUCUCCCUCUGCCUGUGUCUCUGCCUCUCUCUCUGUGUGUCUCUCAUGAAUAAAUAAAUAAAAUCCUAAAAAAAAAAAAAUCGCAUUACAGUUUCCAAAAGGGAGGUGCUAUUUUUAACAAGUAUUUAAGAAAUAGACAGAGGGACCUAUACACACUCCUAGCUACUGUUUUCUGGGCUUUUUCUACAGCUGUGGGGAGUCUUCACUCGGGGGCAGCCCCCUAUAGCCAGUGUGGGGGGGCGUUUACCGUGCUGAGCAAAAAAAUCAAGCAGAUGGACAUGUGGCUAAAUCUGGAUUUUUCUCUUUUUCCUUCAAAAAUUUUUAUAACUGGAUGUGCUGAGAUGAUACUUUCACUAAGGACAUCUACAAUUUGUUGAGGCACUGUUCUGAGCACUGUACAGAACUCAUUUGAGGCUCACAGUGAUAACCCCACAAGACAAAUACCAUAAUGAUUCCCACUUGACAUGUGGGAAUUCAGAAGAAGUCCAGGUUAACUGCCUAAAGCAUUAGUGCUAAUCAUGACUUUGAUAAACAUUUCCAUUAAGGAGAGGUGUAAGUUUCUGAAGCGACCUUGACAGAGAAGGCCAGUUACGUUCAUCUAUCCACCACCUUUCCAAUCUUCUUAAUUAGCCACAUUCAUACAAUUGUACCCAUAUGGGUAUGUAUCCUGGCCAGCGUCCCACUCUUCCCAUGAAACGUUCCUUUAUACACAUUGUCUCAAGCAUUUUACUUAUGUGGCUACACGCAUAUUUUUAGUGACUACAGACAUGAUGCCACAGUGGUUUUUUUUUUUAAGAUUUUAUUUAUUUAUUCAUGAGAGACACAGAGAGAGAGGCAGAGACACAGGCAGAGGGAGAAGCAGGGUCCCUGCAGGGACCCCGAUGUGGGACUCGAUCCCAGGACCCCGGGAUCACGCCCUGAGCUGAAGGCAGACGCUCAACCAUUGAGCCACCCAGGCGUCCUGAGUAGCUGCUCUUUAAAAUAUUUUAAAUCCAUUGAUGUAUUUAGCUUAUGUAUCAUGUUUCAAUGAAGAUGGGGUCUCACUGUCUCGUCUAAGCAAAGUUUAAAUAUCACAGAUGAUAGAAUUUAUCAUUCCUCUAUCGUUGAACACUUAGGUUAGUUCCAAUCCUUGUGAGUGUCAUACUGAUAUGAACUUAUUCGUACGUACACUACUUCUUCCCUCUUUUGUGUCCUUGCACUAAAUUUCCUGGAGUUGAUUUAGGCCCAAAGGGCACGGACAUCUAUAAGCAUCUUCCUGGCUUUGCCAAGCGGCCCUGCAGGAGGCAGCUUACCCGGCCCAGGGCAAUGUGGGCCUACUUGCCCUUUGCCCACAAACCCAAAGUACCAGCUUUGAAAAAACAAAACAACAGCAAUAAAAACCAAACAAAACUCCAAGCAGAUGGCAAGUUAAAUAUGGCCGAGCCGGAUUGGCAGGGCCAAGUUCCUGCUCACUGAGGACAUGGGGUUGCUCUGAAUUCCAGAAGAAUGUACUUCAUUUACAAAGGAUUCUACGGGGACCGUGAAAAGGUGAGAGGCCUUGGUUCCCCUGGAAUCUCGAAGGGGCCCUGGAGAACUGGGCCUCCCCAGAAGAGAUCUUACCUCUGAAAGUCAGUUGGGGAAGAAUUUAAUUGGUGCUGCUCAUUCAUCAGGCUCUGUUAGGAUAGUGUAAUGUGCUUAACACAUGCAAAGAGUGGCUUUAAAAUACCACUUAUUAAAGGCAAGAACAAUAAAGACAAGAGGGAAAAAAAAUCGCUCAUAUUCUCACUUCCACACCAAUAACAACUCUGACCAUUUUGCCUUUUAGGGAUCAUGAAAAGGAAUCUCUAGUGUAUCUGGGUCGAAUAAAGUCCCGAUAAUUUGUUUUAAUGUUUUACAAAUUGAAUAACGUGGCAGAGAUUUGAAGGCAUCAGAUAAGCCGGGUGUAACUCUGUGCCUGUCAAUCACGGAGUUGCAGUAAUUUACAAUGUACUUUAUACUCUGAAGGGUAAAGUCUGCUUUCCAUCCUUGGUCAAACAUAUAAAUCCGCCAAAUGGAAUUUCUGGGAGCAAGCUGAGCAAGGAGGACGAGGAGCAGUUGCACCAUAUCCUCACCUCCGUCUGACAUCGCCCGUUUCGGAGUGGUGGCCAAUGGCUGGAGAAUGUCACACCUCUGCCCCACGGUGCUUCUCUCUCUUCUCCUACAGCAGAGAGAUUCAGUUUAUUGUGUCACCCAGAUGCCAACUCUAGGGUUAGCGCCAAUAAGGGCAACAAUCUUUCUUAAGUGUGUGUCC
rnacentral:lncRNA from 1 species